GGCAGUUCUCAGGUGACGCACCCUGGAAUCGGGCUCCCUUCUCUCUGGUUCCAGGUGCGUCACCCGAGAACCCGCA
rfam:Myotis brandtii contig178685, whole genome shotgun sequence.